rnacentral:rRNA from 1 species
AGCGAACGCUGGCGGCAGGCCUAACACAUGCAAGUCGAACGAAGUCUUCGGACUUAGUGGCGGACGGGUGAGUAACACGUGGGAACGUGCCUUUAGGUUCGGAAUAACUCAGGGAAACUUGUGCUAAUACCGAAUGUGCCCCUCGGGGGAAAGAUUUAUCGCCUUUAGAGCGGCCCGCGUCUGAUUAGCUAGUUGGUGAGGAAAAGGCUCACCAAGGCGACGAGCAGUAGCUGGUCUGAGAGGAUGAUCAGCCACAUUGGGACGGGGACACGGCCCAAACUCAUACGGGAGGCAGCAGUGGGGAAUCUUGCGCAAUGGGCGAAAGCCUGACGCAGCCAUGCCGCGUGAAUGAUGAAGGUCUUAGGAUUGUAAAAUUCUUUCACCGGGGACGAUAAUGACGGUACCCGGAGAAGAAGCCCCGGCUAACUUCGUGCCAGCCGCCGCCGUAAAAC